rnacentral:antisense_RNA from 1 species
AGGCCAGUUACUGCCUCUCUGACCCCAGACGUCUCAUCUGUCGAAUGGGGACAUUUGGGAACAGCACCCACUCUACGAAGCCACCAUGGAGACGAAAGAGCCAAUCGUCUACACGGGCAGUGUAGAACGGGCGCCUGGGCCUAGGGGAUGCCAAAUUCCAGGGUCCAGAAAGAGCUUGGGAUAAAAUGAAACUUCAAGGGGACGGCUUUGACCUGGGCUGAGUCUGCCUGUGCCGAGUCUGCCUGUGCCAUCCAACUGGAGUCUCAAGUCCUGAGGCAGGACGUCCAGGUGCCCCAAUGCAGGGUCCUCCUGAUCAACACCUGCUCCCCUGUACUCAUUAGCAACCUCACCCACCCUACUCUCAAAGCACACUUGGCUCUCAUAUCCAGGAGCUCUGCAUCUGUAGAUCCAGCAACAGCAGAUGGAAAAUAUUCAGAAAAUAAUUUGGAUGGUUAUGUUUCUAUUGAA